UGUCAAGUCGAACGGCAGCACGGACUUCGGUCUGGUGGCGAGUGGCGAACGGGUGAGUAAAGUAUCGGAACGUACCUUUCAGUGGGGGAUAACGUAGCGAAAGUUACGCUAAUACCGCAUAUUCUGUGAGCAGGAAAGCAGGGGAUCGCAAGACCUUGCGCUGAUUGAGCGGCCGAUAUCAGAUUGGCUAGUUGGUGAGGUAAAGGCUCACCAAGGCGACGAUCUGUAGCGGGUCUGAGAGGAUGAUCCGCCACACUGGAACUGAGACACGGUCCAGACUCCUACGGGAGGCAGCAGUGGGGAAUUUUGGACAAUGGGGGCAACCCUGAUCCAGCCAUGCCGCGUGAGUGAAGAAGGCCUUCGGGUUGUAAAGCUCUUUCGGCCGGGAAGAAAUCGUAUGGGUUAAUACCCUGUGCGGAUGACGGUACCGGCAUAAGAAGCACCGGCUAACUACGUGCCAGCAGCCGCGGUAAUACGUAGGGUGCGAGCGUUAAUCGGAAUUACUGGGCGUAAAGGGUGCGCAGGUGGUUAUGUAAGACAGAUGUGAAAUCCCCGGGCUCAACCUGGGAACUGCGUUUGKGACUGMGUGGCUAGAGUAUGGGAGAGGGAGGUGGAAUUYCCGGUGUAGCGGUGAAAUGCGUAGAUAUGUGAAGGAACACCAAUGGCGAAGGCAGACYUCCUGGGCCAAUACUGACACUCAUGCGCGAAAGCGUGUGUGAGCAGAACAGGGAUUAGAUACUCUGGUAGUCCACGCCCGUAAAACGAUGUAGAACUAAGAUGUUGAGGUGGGCUAUGAGACCACUUUAGGWACUCGUCAGCUAAACGUCGUGUAAGGUGAUCCGCCUGGGGAGUACGGGCCGCAUGAUUAAAACUUCAAAGGAAUUGACGGGGACUCGCCACAGCGGUGGAAUGAAU
rnacentral:rRNA from 1 species